UUGACACAACAUUAACAACUAUAAACUGCUUUAUAAUGGCUGGUCGUAGUUCUGCUAGAGGGUCAAGGACGGGUUCCUCAAAACUGUUAGUGUUUCCACACCACUUAGCAUAAACAUAUGCUGACCUUUCUGCUCUGCAUCUAUCGAUUGAUCCGCAGACAGACGAGAAGAAACUGCUGAAUGCUCUCAGUGGAUCGUCUCGUCAACUCCAACAACAAACUGCCGAUAUCAACGAGCGGUUCGCCCCACUGGAGCGUUCGGGACUCUCCGGGUUUCUGUCCAUGGAGGAGAGGAUGGCGGCUCUGGAGGAACUGACUCAAAGAAGAGGAGACGGGCGCACAAUCCCAAGAUAGCGACUAAUCUCGCCUCAUAAUGAGGCGGUGACCUCGUAUUUGCUCCGGGAAAAGUCCAGAUUUAGACAACGUCAUUGUGUGUAAGUGACACUGUUUACUGUUUCUCCUUCCUUGUUAAAUGUUACUGUCACUUGCGUUUGAUUUUUUUUUAUUCAUACCACACUCAUUUAAUUGUUUUCCAUCCGCCUGUGAGACGUAUUGUGAGACGGGACGCAGGAGCUUCAGGUUUUCCCAGCCGGAACACUCAUUGCGGGCGGAAGCUGCGAAGGAUUCAGCGCGGAGUCGAGCGAGAAGAAAGAGGCUGCUAGAAUCGAGACAAAGUGUGCUGGCUGAUGACGAGGUGGAACUCUGGAAAUCCACCACCGUAGAGCUCACGUCGGACGGAGAGGACGGCGUUGUUGGCGGGGUCUCGGGGUGGAUUGUACGGUCGCUGCUAUUUCUGAGUCAGUCCCGGUUAGAGGCGACUCAGAAAUACAGAUCCUCACACAUUAGGCGCCUGCACAACAGACCUGCCUCGGAAAACACGGCGCCAGUGACGGUCUACAACCCCAAGGAGGCAAACGGACAGUUUACAGAGCUGUAGUUUUUUAAACCGCCUUUACCCAAGUGUGGGCAGAUCCUCACUUUGUAUGUAGUUGUUGUUUGUAUGUUGUCAAUAAAGCUCUUUCUUUGCAUAAACAUGUGGCAAAUGUUCAUUUUAUCUAUAAAUUCAUUGAUGUCCUGGUUGGUAUCCUAAUAAUAGUGUAGUAGCCUACAUAGGAUAACCAUGAAAUGAAUAUACAGCAUAAUAUGAAUAUAUAAAUAAAAUGAGGCGGGUGACCAAUAGCGACAGAUCUGCCAACCAAUCACGAGUGAUUGAAAGUUGUGGUUUCAUCCAAUCAUGAACGAGGAAACUCAAGCCUGGUCUGCCCAGGUGUGGUUUUGCUGCCAAUCACGAGUGAUUUUAUUUGUUAGUAAGUUGUGGUUUCAUCCAAUAAGGAGUAAGGAUAUUCAAGCCCGCUCGGCUCGGCCACCCGCGUUUUCGCUGCAUUCAUAUGCUAAUUCGGGCCAUUUGCACAUCUGCCAGCUCUCCACCUACGUCAUGGUUCGUUUCCGACAAUUUGUGGCACAGACAAACGCGACAUGUGCGGGUUGCAAAUUGUCGGAAAUUAGGGAGAUUUCCGGGCGUUUACGGGGACGAAAAUCUCACUUUUCAUGCAGUGUAACCCCGACCAGGCUCCAAUUAUUGAACACAUAUUCUUACAGUAAUGUACACUUUAUUACGUUUGUAACUAGCUUUCAUUCUAAAUUGAAUUCCUUGAAAGUUAGCGGGAAGGAGUUGCGUUACUCGCAUUCUUCCAGCUAACGUUGCAUUCGGAGGAAAAGAGACGACGAUUCAGAUGAGCCAUCUUUAGCCGUCUUCGGCAUAUUUAUUUUACGAGCUGCCGCUGACACAUCAGUCUCACGGUCAGACAGCUUUCAUAGCUUCUUCAUAUAAAACGGCAAAACAUUUUGGGACAAACAAAACAGCAAUGCAAACGAGUGCCCCCUUGUGGCUCAUGCACAACACAGAUCAGCACUGUACUACACCAUCACCACAACUGAGGACAUAAUGAACAUAUCCCAACAGAAGGUCUAACCGUUUCUCAAAG
ensembl:lncRNA